rnacentral:rRNA from 1 species
UACGUAGGGGGCAAGCGUUGUCCGGAAUUAUUGGGCGUAAAGCGCGCGCAGGCGGUUACUUAAGUUUGGUGUUUAAGCCCGGGGCUCAACCCCGGUUCGCACUGAAAACUGGGUGGCUGGAGUGCAGGAGAGGAAAGUGGAAUUCCACGUGUAGCGGUGAAAUGCGUAGAGAUCAGGAAGAACACCGGUGGCGAAAGCGCUCUGCUGGACCGUAACUGACACUGAGGGACGAAAGCUAGGGGAGCAAAUGGG